UACAGAGGUCUCAAGCGUUGUUCGGAAUCACUGGGCGUAAAGGGUGCGUAGGCGGCAUGGUAAGUCAGAGGUGAAAUCCCGGAGCUCAACUUCGGAAUUGCCUCCGAUACUGCCAUGCUUGAGGACUGGAGAGGAGAUUGGAAUUCACAGUGGAGCAGUGAAAUGCGUAGAUAUUGUGAGGAACACUAGUGGCGAAGGCGAGUCUCUGGACAGUUCCUGACGCUGAGGCACGAAGGCCAGGGGAGCAAACAGG
rnacentral:rRNA from 1 species